rnacentral:rRNA from 1 species
CCAAUAGCGUAUAUUAAAGUUGUUGCAGUUAAAAAGCUCGUAGUUGAAUUUCGGGAUCAGUACGCCGGUCGUGCCUUCGGUAUGCACUGGUGUCACUGGUUUCUCCCUUCUGAAGAACCAUCAUGCCAUUAAGUUGGUGUGGCGGGAAAUCAGGACUGUUACUUUGAAAAAAUUAGAGUGUUUAAAGCAGGCUCGCGCUUGAAUACAUUAGCAUGGAAUAAUGAAAUAGGACGUUUGACCCUAUUUUGUUGGUUUCUAGGAUCGACGUAAUGAUUAAUAGGGAUAGUUGGGGAGCAUUAGUAUUCAAUUGUCAGAGGUGAAAUUCUUGGAUUUAUUGAAGACUAACUACUGCGAAAGCAUUUGCCAAGGAUGUUUUCAUUAAUCAAGAACGAAAGUUAGGGGAUCGAAGACGAUCAGAUACCGUCGUAGUCUUAACCAUAAACUAUGCCGACUAGGGAUCGGAUGAUGUUAAUUUUUUAAUGACUCAUUCGGCGCCUUACG